CAACGUUCGUCGACUUCGGGUUAGGCGGUCCUAAGGUGAGGCCAUAUGGCGUAGCCGAUGGAAAACGGGUUGAUAUUCCCGUUCUUGGUUGUAGUCGUUAUCAGCUGGGGAGGGACGAUGAAGGAUAACCUGGGCGGCGCGAGGAAGUUGCGUUCGUCUAAGCCGUAAAGCAGAAUGUGUUGGAAAAUCCGCAGAUUCGACGCUGAAUGGUGAUGGGAAGGCCAAACGCAAGUGAGGCCAACCCGGGUGAUUUCAUCAUCCGAGAAAAGCUUCGCAGUGAGACUACAACCAAACCGUACCGACAACCGACACUGGUGGGCUGGUAGAGCAUACCAAGGCGAGCGGGAGAAGGAGGUUUAAGGAAUUCGGCAAAUUAGCUGGGCGUACCUUUGGUAUAUGCCCUCCCCGUGAGAUGUCGCGCAAGCGCUGUCUUAUGGGGUUCAACAAAAGAUUACAGAGCGACUGUUUACCAAAAACACAGGUCUGUGCAAACUCGAAAGAGGAGGUAUACAGGCUGAGGCCUGCCCAGUGCCGGAAGGUUAAUUGCGGGGGUGAGUCCGACUUGUCGGACAAGCCUCCAAUCGAAGCCCCGGUGAACGGCAGCAGUAACUAUAACUGUUCUAUGGUAGCGCAGUCUCUAGUCGCUUAAUUAGCGACCCGCACGAAAGGCGUCACGACUUUGUAACUGUCUUGAACCUUCACCCGGCGAAAUUGAAAUGGCUGUGAAGAUGCGGCCUACUGACUGCAGGACAAAAAGACCCCGUGGAGCUUUACUACAGCUUGGCACUGAUUUUUCAUACCGAAUCGUCGAGCAUAGGCGGGACCUCGCAGAUUUAUUUUGCGGGGGUCACUGGAAUACCGCUCGUUUAGCAUGAGAAAUCUUACUCAAAGAUUCUGGAAACGAAUCUGGGGACACUGUCUGGUGGGUAGUUUAACUGGGGAGGUUGCUUGCUAAAGAGUACCGCAAGCGUGCAAUGGUACCCUUAGUCCCGAUGGAAACGGGACCGGACGUGCAAUGGCAUAAGGGUGCUUGACUGUGAGGCAAACUAGCCGAGCAGAUGCGAAAGCAGGUCAUAGUGAUCCUCGUGUGCUUUGUGGAAGGCACCGGGCUUAACGGAUAAAAGCUACCCCGGGGAUAACAGAGUAGUCGCGCCUAAGCGUCCAUAGCGACGGCGCGGUUCGCUACCUCGAUGUCGGCUCAACGCAUCCUGGGGGUGGAGAAGCUCCCAAGGGUUGGACUGUUCGCCCAUUAAAGCGUUACGCGAGCUGGGUUCAGAACGUCGUAAGACAGUUCGGCCUCUAUCCGCAGUCAGCGUGGGAUUCUUGAGGGAAGCUGGCCACAGUACGAGAGGACCUGGCUGGGGCAGUCCCUGGUGUUCCUGUUGUCGCUGUCAAGCGCACCGCAGGGUAGCUACACUGCUUCGAGAUAACCGCUGAAAGCAUCUAAGCGGGAAGCUCAUCCCAAGAUAAGGAAUCCAUCCGAGUUCAGCUCGGGAGAGACCCCUAGGAGACUACUAGGUUGAUAGGCGGCCGGUGGAAGUCCGGUAACGGAUUAAGCCUAGCCGUACUAAUUGGUCGAAAG
rnacentral:rRNA from 1 species